GUAGAUAAAGCAUAGUAGAUAAAGAUAGGUGGGAAGAAACCUGAAGGAAAAUGAAAAAAUGAUAACAUUUGGAAGUCUCAAGGGAAGAAUAGAGAACAAUAAAACAACGUACUUCAAGAAACUCAGUGCAGGUCUGAAUCACUUCAGAGUGUGAGAGCUGAGCAAUAAAUAAUGUGGGCAACAGAAUUUUUAUGCUUGGUGUUCUUCUUUCUCUUUUUAAGUUUAAGUUGACUUAUUCCUGUUGAAAUGUACUCUACAUGACUUGGAGCAGGCUGAGGCAACUGCAGAUUCUAAACAGUAAUCUUUUAUAAUUCAUGCAAGACAAGUAAGACACCAGAAGAUCAGGAAGAGUAUGUCUUUCAACAGGAUAAAGGAACUGUAAGAGGUCAUUCUUUUACGCCGUUGCCUCAAAGCUUGCUGAGGGACACAGAUGAACAAGGUCAAGCAAGUCCUGACCAAGGAUUAAGAAAACCUUCGUCCUGAAGGGACAACAGAUGGACAACGCCUGGGGCAACGAGAGAGGGUAAGUGGCAGCUAAAUGGCCAGGAAACAGUCUUUUGUGUGGACUUAUCUCAAGGGAGACAGCCAUCUCAGGGGGGGCUCACAUGACCAAGCGCCCAGAAAUGUCACGUAGGCAGGGAAGGAGGAGGAUAAAAGAGGGUCCAACAACCAUGAAGUCAGGAUUCUGAUAACAGAUUCCACACGACCUGCCUCUCCCUCCCGGACUUCGCUCUGUGCUCUACCUGCUUGCUGCCUAAGGAUGGCCUCUCUGCUGCUGCUCACCCCUCCGAGAAGGUGUCUGCCAUCAGAUCCCUCACUACAAAAGGCCUGCAUGCUGACUGACUCUCCAGGGCCUGCUACCGGAGACCUGCUGCUUCCGCCCAGACUUCUUCCUGGACCUACUCGGUACCUGCCUGCACCUUCUCGCUGCCUAAGACCGGCCACACCGCUGCUGCUCUUCCCCUGCGCUUUUGCCCCGGACCAUCGGAACGUCGUGCAACGGGACUACUGCCGGAUCCUGGUGACCUAUGCCUUCAGCUUCAGUGAGCACAGUUGUAGAACACUGUAAGGGAAAAUGGUACACCGUCUGGGAUAUGCAAGGGACUUUGGCUCUUAAUUCAGAUUGUUGUAUAGUGUAUUUAAAAAAAAAAGUCAGCAAUGAUUUUCCUAGGAAUCUUUUCAGUCAUAAUAUUACCUUCAUCUUACUCAUUCCCCAGUCAGUCUAAUUCAGGCACUCAAAUAUGCAAGGUAUGUAAAAACUAUGAUAAAUGUAUAUAUCAACACACGUUAUAAGCACCACUUGAUAUUCUAAUAAUCCAAGUAAAGCCUAUUUUUAAUACAUGAGAGCUGCUCUGAAAGUAAUGCCUCCUAUUUGUCCUAUUGUGUUUGUUGGUCCAUGAUGUCACAGGCAGAUGGUGGUGGUAUGGCAGUAGAGGCUGAACCUUCUCACCAAUAUCCCAUUACAUUUUGUUGCCAUGUAACAGAUGGCAACAAAGGGGCAGUCUGACAAAAUGACAUCUGACAGGGAAGUGCUUCUGAAAUAAAGGUCUGGGGUUGAAUUCCUUGAUGUGGAAAAAAUGACACCCAUUGGCAUUCACUGAUGUUUGCUGAAUGCUGAUGGAGACCAAGUAGCAGGUGUGAGCACAGUGACACAGUGAGUGGUGUGUUUCAGCAGUAGCAGCACCAACUGUGUCACCUCAGCUGGUGCAGAUUUUUCUGAGUGCAGCAUGCAGGUUCUUGUUCAUUGCUGGUGAAAAUAUGUAGUUAAUGAUGGUGCCUAUGUUGAAAAACAGGUUUUUUUGUAGCUGAGAAUUUGCUCUAUCAAAUUUGUAGCUAUUGUAGUUUCCAUGGAAAUAAACAGGAGGCAUUACUUUCAUAGAGAAUUAAGUAGAGGAGAAUGACUUCAUUUAUUCCUACAGGUGUAAGUUAAGAAGCAACUGUCAUGAAUUUAACAUCAAUUUGUAGCAAUUAUUGGUCUGGGCAUUAUAUGCUAACACUGCCUGGCUUCAAAUUCAAAUCAAGGAACACUCUGAUGUCAUGAAUUUUAUUUAAAAAUAUUUAUCACUACACACUACUCUGAGGUCUAGAAACAGAUUUAGAACUUGGGGAAAGAUGCAAAUGAAAAAUUCUAUUGGAAAAACAAAACUACUGUUUAAUGCUCGAGGCCUUAGUGGCCUUACAUUUGUAAUUAACCCAGCAAGAACAAAAUCCUCAUACUAAAGGCUAAACAUAACUCAAGGACUCUUUCAGAACAAAACAGUGCUACUGAAAUGCUGAGUUCUGAAUGCUCAUCAGAUCCUGGGUGAAAGCCAAGACAUCUCUGCUUUAUAUCUGAAGAAACUACUAUUAAGAACCUAAGAAUCACUGUCAUUCCAAAGCGUACUUCUGCUUUUUGAUUUCUUGGUUUCAGAACUGAGCUCAAGGCAGUUAGAUCAUUGAGCAGAAAGCUCCUGGCCACUCUGUAGUACCAGUGUAGUCAGUGGGAGCCAGACUUGCUCAGAAAACCAGCAAUUUGUGUCUCAAGUUCUGCACCCAUAGUCAAAAACUGACUCAGUAAGACAGACUGAUUUUCUGUUUUAACUCUCCAAUAAAAACAGUCUUUCCAGAUCCUGAAUUUGUCUUUUACGUGAAAUAGACUUUUCUGCCCAUUGCAUGUAAAUGUAAACUUUCUUGGAGAAACUUUAUAAGUAAGCUCACAGAAUAUUAGAAUUCCAUAGCUAUUCUUUUCUACUUUUUGGAAAAAAAAAAAAAUAAAACCAACAUCUGAUAUGUGGGGAGCAGAAUAGCUAAAUGUUAUAGGAUGUCACAUAUAAUCCAUAUGCAUCUUGAUUAAACUAUCAAUGUAGAACUCAAAUGUCCAUCUCUAUUAUUUCUUUCAGCGUCUUUUCACUUAGUAUUAGAAUGAAGAUAUUAAGAAGGCCCAAAAGGUACAAUAGUGCCCCUUUCCUUUUGCCAACAGUCUUAAGAGUUCCCCCCCCCCCCCAGAUUUCCCCUUCAAUAACAUUUAUUUUGAAGAAUUUUAACAUCAAGGGCAACAUGGUACCCAGUUAUUUGACUAAGUAAGACGAAGGGAAGGCUUCACACACUGCUGCAUAUUAAGUGAAAGUGUAGGAAUAAUAUUUUCCAAGACCUAGAUAGAACUGAAUUUAAACAAACUCUAAUGGUUGACCAAUUUGAGAUGCAAAUGAGAUGUUUCACAUCGAGGCUGUUGUUGAUGAUGGUGCAUUGUUUGUGACUGGAUCUCCCUCAGUGCUUGCGAUUGCUAUUAAUGCAGUCUUGGAAACAUUUUCAAGAAUUGCUUUACAUGGCCCUAGCAGGGGAAAGAGAAAUGGAAAGUCUGCAACAGCAGAACAAAUCUUUCUAGAAUUGAGUUCACUCUGAAAGUUGGCUACCACAUCUAAUAGAACAGGAUGGGCUCAACUGGUUUUGUUUGUUUGUGGCUUGUUUUUUUUUAAUUUAUGCAAAUUAUUUCUGUCAGGUAAUAAGGUAAACAGAAAGAAAUGCUGAGACUGCAGCACAGACUGGAAUACUGUUGGUAAGCUCUGCUUACCAUCUCUGAAUGAGGUGUACUCUUCUUUCCUUCUUGAUUUGAAUGAGAGCUAAGAGAUGUUCCUGUGUUUCAGACCAAACAGGAAGAUUUAUACAACUGUUCUUAAAAUGUGCUUCACCUCUUGUCAACCUCAAGAACAUUUGCCUUUUUUGCAGCUAUUCCCAUUCCUCUCAGUGACUCCCAGAGGUGAUCUAUUCAGCAUUAGUCAAGGCUGUAGUAAGAAUCUUCCAAAAGUAUUUUGCACUCUGCCAUUAAUUCCCUCGCUAUCUGCAAGUGAACCACUUCAGGCAUGGCUGCAACAUACAGUGAAGUAUAGCAUGGAAAUUCCAAGCUGAUACAUUUGCAAAGCACCACUUAAUAAGGAACAGAAAAUCAUGAGAUCUGAAAGCAAUCUGGCCACAUCUGACACCGCUGUGCCAGACCUUGUAAAUUCAUUCUUUUAUCAUUACAGUUCAUUUGCUCAGAGGCUGUGCUGAGAUUGUUCUGGUUCUGAAGCAUCUAUGAACAUUAUUACCCCAAGGAAGUAUGUUUCACACUUCACUGCAGUGUGCACUUCAGUGCAGACAUGCCAACAGCCUGCCCUGGCCUUGAAAUCCUACCUGUAAUCCUACCUGUAAAGUAGGGACAAUGAUUUGACCUAUAAAAUAUAAAGUUGCAGAUAGUAAUGCAUUUUGACAGUUUCCCUACAGUUCAGUAUAGUGAUGAGGGCCGGAGGAAUAAUGCAGAUGUUUGAGCACUGUUGCAAGACUGCAAAGAGUCCUUAAAUUUGAUUCCUCAGAGUCAGUGGAUACUUUUGAAAGCAUCACUGAUUUUUCCAAGUUCUAAGGUGAUUGUAAGGGCGGUACUGAUUUCAGGGCCUGGAUUCAGAAAUAUUAAAAGCCCUGACCAGCCUCACCUGUGAAAUCCUCCCCAAUUCCUCCACAGUCCAUAGGCUCAAGGGCUCCAGGCCUGGAAGUUCAGUCCUUCUCUGAGCCAUGCUGCAGAGAUGCUGGUUCUCAGCACUAACAGGGUCACUCAGCCUCACAUCACAGCACUAUCUCAUGCAGACUUUGUUGGGACUGCCAAGGUGAGGCAAGGUCUCAAUUCUUUUGCCACGUUGCACAGUCCUAACUCAGACCCUUCAGGUGUGUAUGUGGCGGGGAACUCCUUGGCUUUCCCACCCCUCUUCAUGGGCAGCUAGCCCAUGUUGUUCCCUGACAACUAGCAGUAGAAUCAAGAAAGCCUGGGCCCCUGCUUUACAUUUUUAUCGAGACACAUCCUACCCUCUUCAAAUGCCACGUGCAGCUACCUCAAGACUGGUCAGUUGGUUACCUUCAUCCAGUUUCAACCAGUAGCCUCAUGCUGUUUCUCUGGUCUCAGAAUAGUUGAGAAACAAGGUGGCACCAAUGACACCGAGAGGCAAGACACAGAAAGCUUCAGUCACCCAAGUCUUGAUGGCACUGAAUUAGAAAUUACAAUUAUUUGUGUUCUCAAUGUUAUAAAAACCCUGGGUUUGUCCUUCAUGUAGCUAGAAAGGUGAGGAAAUUGAUAGUCUGACCAUGUGGUGAGGAAGACAGAAACAAACUCCAGCCUUUGGAGAAAUUAAUUCUUGGAGACCGAAAACCUAAAAUUAUCCAAAGGAGAAUAUUGUGUAACAUUGUACUGUAAAUCACUAACAGAUACCUCUACACCUAUAUGUUUAUCUUAGAUGCAAUAUAUAUUUUCUUAAUUAUUUUCUGUUUAUCAUAAAACUACCGAUGAUAGGUAGCUUAAGAUUAGAUUGAGACUCAGUUUUUUUGCUUUGCUCUUCAGACUUCUUUAAAACAGGGUUUGAUUUUCUUUUGACCCAAUCUGUCUGAAUUCCAAAUCAAUCCAGAGGUAAAAGAUCGUGUUCACUAGUUUACUCUUUCAGUGUUACAGGUGGUGGAAGAUGACUCCAGCGGGGAGUUGCAAAAUUAGCAAGUUUGUUUACUAACUUUUUAUGCAUACCAUGGAUAUGACUUCUCCUAGUCAUUAUUCCUCCCAUUUUAGGAGAUUCACAUCUAUUCAUGUGCACAUAAGUGUUAGCUAAUUGGAAAGUUUAAGUCAAAAGCAGAUACUUGCAGCUGUCUGCUUGUAUAGAAAGAAACCUCUCCUUGACAGGUUCUACAAAGUAUCAGUUCGGGUCAAGUUGAAUCAUAAUAAUUGUUCUGCUGACUUUAAAAGGAACACACUCUGAUGAUGUUAUUACUGUAGCAAUUUGGUGGAAACCCAAUGCCAUAAAAUCCUGGUUCCUACUGUUGUAUCUUUUUCUACAUGAGCUCUCAUCUGCUUUCUCACUAAAAAUAGAAUAUUGCAUAUAACUACUGCAAAUGCUAACUCUUAGUAUCAAACAUCUUUCUUUCUCCAUCUGGUGUUUUAGCUCAAUUAACAAAUUAGAACAUGAGUGACUGAUGUAGAAAUAAUAGUUAUACCUACUUUCCUUCUCUGAAAGGGCUCAGUUUGUAACAAAAGUGCAUGCACUUUAAAAGUGCACUGAAGGUGUUAGCUCGGUGAUCCUUACUACAUCUCUACAUGGUAGCAAUUUCUCUCUGUUUACUCAUUUUGCACAGUAAGAGAGAGAUUUAAUUUUUGUCAUCUCAUGGCCUCGCACAGGAUGAGGGUAAGUGACAUCUUUUGUGUAGUGGCACGUUUAUGCAUUGUGGCUUUGUGCUUUUCAUGCUAAAUUUAAAAGCCAAAUUUCCAGGAUAGGGCCAGUGCAUUAAAGUAUAAAGUUUACUCAGAGACAUAUAAUAUUUGCAAUUUCAAGAGUUUUCCUGUGUUUCUGUAUACAGUUGUUUCUGCUCUAUGUCGUUUCUCCUUUGGUAUUCCCCUACUUUGAUUACCUCUGCACUCCUUAAGUUACAGAUCCUGGAUCGCUUUAAAAUGGAAAAGCCUCAAGCAGCGUUCAGCAACGUUCUCUCUCUUUUAUUAUUUACUGGAAUGGUCACUGUGAGAUCACUGCCUUUGAAGAAGAGUUAGAGUGCUGAAGACCCUGCAAUCACUCUGGAAGAGACUUCCGUAUCUGCUUCUGCAGACUGUCUGGGACCGUUAAAUGACCAAAUAUUUAUCUGUGGUUGAAAAAAUGACAUAUUUCUUCUUGUUUGCUAUCUGGCCAUGUUGUUUGUACAAGCACCCUCAGAAGUGUGCAGAAGUAUACAUACAGCUGCAAGGAUAUCACUGAAAGGUAAACAGACAUUUGAAGAACUUACAAUCAAAUGCUUAACCUGGUGUAACAGUGACGCCAUCGUCUUCAUGCAUGUUAACAAAUCUCAAAUCAAGAGAUUUGAUUUUGAUCUGGAAAGAAGCACUAGUGUCUGCAAGAUAAAGAGAGCAAUCAAGUUCCACUUCUAGGUCCUAGGAUGAAAAAAAAAAAAGGCUCCUUCAAAGGAGGAAGCCUAUAACUGAUAUACCACUCUGUCUCCUGAGCAUGACAGUGAAAAAGAAAGGAUUUCAUUGCACCAAGAAGAGGACAACUCCUUCUGAAACUGUUAUCCUCAGAUGGGAACUACUGUGCAAAAAUUCAUCACAUUAUUUGAAAACGACUUGCACAAGUGUAUGCCCUGAAGCAAAACAUGAAUAUAUGUAUGCUACACAUAAUUGGCAUGGUAAUAUUAUCCACUGAAAUAUCUAGGUCUCUACAUCAAGCUAAACAUCACAGAGCUAUAAUAAACAAGUAAAUAAAGAAGUGGUGAUUAGCAAACUGGAUUUAUGUUCUUAAGUACCUGAUGUGCUGUAAGUCAGUUCAUACUCACAUCCUAAAGCAGUUUGUGAAAUGUAUAUCUAUUUAAAUGACAUUUACAAAACCUGUUUAUGCUUUCAACAUGAUAAAUUCAUCUUCAAUUACUUGGAAAAAUAGGGCGAGUAUUUAUAACCUGUUGUUCUUUUUUCAUAAAAGAAAAACCCAUGCCCAGGCAUUCCUAGUAUUUCUUACUUACAGUAUGACAUCCACAGUGUUCAUCAGAGUACAGUGCAGUGCUGUGCACCUGUAGGAACUGUUGCUUAAUUUCACAGCUUAGGUGCCCAAAUUAAAUUGCACUGAUUACCUCUUCGACUCCUAUAUUAAAAAUUACCUUUGGUGGCUUUAAUAUAGAUACUCAGGAAGGUUUAAAUUUUAAAUGGAUGACCAUGGGUUAAGCUUUAUUCCCUGUCUUAUUAGGAAUUAUACUAAAAAAGCUCUAACAGACUCCCCGUGUAUUUGCAAAAAUCUUUCUGGUGACACCUUAUGACAUCUUGUCAAAAUCCUCACUUUAUUCUUGCUAGUUUUACAUUAAGUUGCUGCCUGCUGGAAAUAAGUUUUAUCACAGCAGGAGCCUAAACCAACAUUUAUUUCAGAAAUCCCAAGAAAACAUUCAGAACUAUCACAGUUAUAGAAAUAUGUGCCCCACAUCUUCUGUGGGUGGAUAGAUACACGCCUGCAUCCGGAAGGCUGGAAACAGGUUUCAGCCCCUGACUGCGGAUGGCUCUGCUCAGAAAGCUCAACUACAACAGUCUUCAGCCAUCUGCUUGUUGCAAUCAGAUCCACUUCAAAGUGUCACAAUCUGACCUUUGUUAUGGCAACAAUAACUUGCAACGGAUGCUCAAGCCAGCUGGUCUGCAGAGAUCCUAGAUCGCCUCAGUGAGUUUAGAAUGACCUUUUGCAGUGCAGACACCAGAAGUCAAAGAGGUGAGCUAUCAUGUUAUCACAGAGAUCUCAGCAUGCUCUAAGGAGCUUUUUUUAGCCUAGGACUGAAAAAAGGGACUCCCUUUAGUGAAUCCUUGAGUCAGCUUUUUACUUCUGUGGUAGAGCCCAAAUGCAUUCUCCUUUCUCAGUUUAAACUUCACAUUUAAUAGAAAUUGUUUUUAUAACAAACAUUUAUGUAAAACCUCUUCAAUAAACUAGGUAGGGCUUCCUGUUAUUCUUUCACUGCUGCUUAGAUUUGUGGUGCUACUCUGAGGUGUUUGUAUUAUUGCUGUAAAGAAGAAGUAGUAAAACAAACUAUCCAAAAUAUUGUUUUGAGCCUCAUUGGCCACUGUUUUUCAUAUCUCUUGCCGUGAUAAGGAAUUCUCAGGUAAAAGAGCCAAACUUGUAUCCAUUUCCUCUUCCCUUCCAGAGAGUUUCUAAGAAUACAAAUGUACCCAAUUUCACAGGUAAUACACUACAUAUCUCUG
ensembl:lncRNA